UUUUAGGAACCUUUGUUCCAUUAUAAAAGCCUAAGGAGCUUAAAAGGGUCAAGACAACACCAUCAAAAGCCCUCAACAGAAUAGAAAAUCCUACAGCUGAGAUGGCAAAAUAUCACUCUUCUUACAUGGCCAAUGCCCUCGCAAAACAUUCAACUAUUUAUUUUGAUCAGAGAACCGAAUAAUAAACUUAAAAGAACUAGAGCAUCGAUGAUCUGAGAAUGGUGAAUAAAGAAAUUCAUUAUCACCGAAUUACAAGCAUCUGUGCCAAUAUAAUCAAUUCCAGUUGUAUAAAGAAACUCAGUAUCACUGAAUUUCGAGAAGCUGUGCCAAUAAAAUCAAUUCCAUUCGGCUAGUGACCACGAAAAGUGAUAAACACCAUCUCAGUCAGAGAGAGAAAUUGGAGCAACAUCAAUUCCUGCGGUCAGGCAUCUAAAAUUCAUUUAUGCUUUUCUAGAAAUAUAUACUGUCCUGAAAAUUUACUUCAGUCUCUAGACAAUUCAGGGCUUAUUUGUUUGUAAAUAAGAAAUUCUGUGAGUGGCAUUCAAGGGUUCUCGCACGAAUCAAGAAAUCUCUCAAAAUAAUGAGAUGAAGAAUGGAAAGAAAAGCUACGAGAAAAAUAUUUAUAGAAGUUUAUUAAGUGCUUAUUAAAUAACAAGACGAUAGGGUGACUCCCAAGAAGCAGAGCGAAUCUGUAUUUACUACUGAACAUGUCAAGUUGGAACUCAAAUAAGAAACCAAAAAGAUGGCAGGUGAAGUGCCAAUCAUACCAAUUAUUACUAGAUGCCAAGUUUUAGCACCAAAUCAUGUAUCGCCCUGAAUAAGGAAGAAAUGAACACUUCCAUUGAGCAAAAACAAUAAUGUUAUUUACAGUUACUUACUACUGCAGUCGCCCAACGUGGCAUGCAUGUGUCAAUUAGUGAUUCGAUAUAUGUGGCAAGAAAAAAUUAUCACAUUAAUAUAUUAAAUCACGAACCGUCAUGUAGGAUGUCAUGUAAGGCGACUAUCACAGUGAGCGACUAUAAAAAGCAUUACUCUAAACAAAACGGCCCUUAUCGCAAAUGUUACUAGAAGUUUACAUGUUACACAACUAUAGAAUUGUCCAUCGUCUGUUAAUUUUGAACAAACAUUACAGUAAACUUAUGAUAAGGGAAAGGCAACAUCAUAUUCAAGAAAUAUAGCAAGAACUAAAUAACUGUAGAACCUAAUCUUGUGGACAGAAGCCACACUAACAUUACAAUAGUAUGCAUAUGAUAUGAGCAUAAUGUGGAAGAUUAUUAUAAAAUAACAAAUGUGAACACUUUAAGCUUUUAGAUUAUGUAGUUUUAAGACAGAAAAAGGGCAAGUUAAAGAGCGGACUCAAUAUCCUCUCUUCUAGUCUCAUCACUACCAGUCACGGAAAUUGUGACAUGUGUCAUGCUUAUGAUAAAUACUAAAUUUGGCUCGUGGGCAUGGGAUAAAAUACUAACUGUAAACAAAUAAAUGGGUCUCCCCUCUAACAACUUAAUUUUUUUACUUCCUGAUUAAUUGCACAAUAUCCAGGAAUAAUUAAGAUGCUGAUAAAUUAGCAAAUAAUAUAAAUAUUAAAAUGAACCAGACUUAUGAGAAGGUCAACAUCAACAAGGUGCACGUAUGUAUACAUAUAAAAUUUAUCCCCCAAAAAAUGUGACAUGCGGAAGUUAUGGCCUUCAAACUAGUGUCCAAAGCCUAUACCUACCUUUACAUGUAAACAAUAUAGGUUGAAAUUACAUUUAGAAAAGCAAGGUAACAAAACACAAUCUUCUAAUCAAAAUUACUCAACAAGUAAAUCUGAUGAUAGUUAUACCUAACUUAUCCAAUUGGAUCAAUCCUUUUUGCCCAAGCCUUCGAAGUCUCGAGAUAUAGCAAUCUGAAGUACCUCCCUUCGUAACAUGUGUGUUAGGUUUUAAUGUAAUUGGCGAUUUUGUGAACAAAAAGGACCAAAUUGAGAAUGUAUAAAAGUCAAGGAAUUAGGUACAAUUUUGUAUAAAUGUGUUAGGUGGGUUAGAGUUCAAGUUCAAGCUCGGAAUAAGGGAAGAAGAGUUGCCACAAUUUUGCUCGCCUCUCGCCAACACACUGCUCGAGUGACAAAAACAGGAUGAACUUCUACUGUUGUGUUAGGUGUAGCUAUCCCCACGGACAUUUCACUUUGGACUAAGAAUGAAUUAGCUAAGUACAACUGGAACAGUAAAGGACGUCAAGCACUAUUUAUGGCCGUGUCUCCCGAGGAGUUUAGGAGAGUGUCAAUGUGUGAGAUUGCUAAAGAGGUUUGGGACAUUUUGGAGACCACAAACAAGGGAGCCAAUCGCUAAAAACUCCAAGCAACAGAUGUGACUUCUAGGUUUGAAGAAAUUAAAUGAAGGAAGAUGAAUCCUUUGAUGAGUUUUAUGCUAACUUGAAUAACAUAGUAAACUUUAACUUAAACCUAGUUGAAAAGUUACAUGAAUCCAAGAUUGUUCGAAAAGUCCUUAGAUACUUACCGGAGAGGUUUAGACCUAAAGUCAUGGCCAUUGAAGAGGAUAAGAACUGAGAUGCAUUUAAGAUAGAAGAACUAGUAGUAUCCUUUCAAAUCUAUGAACUCACCAUAUUACAGCCAAAGAAAAACAAGUCCAUUGCUUAAACACCUUGAAGGAAGAGGAGCCCGAGACAACUGAUACUGAGUCACUUAGGGAUGAGGACAUGGCUUACCCUAAUUUGCGAUUUUCGAGAAUUUUAAUAGGACCAUACUACCCAAAACGUCUAUUAUAUAAAUACCUACCUCACUUCACGAAGACCAAGGAUUAAGCAUUGUGAGAAAACUCAUACAUAAAUUCCAUAUCAUUCAAUCCAUUGAUCUUUGAGUGUUGAAAUUGAAAAAAAAUCAAAAUCCAUAAAUCAAACAUCAAAAAUCCAUAUUUCUAGAGUAUAUGUCAAAUCUUGAAGAUCAUGAAAGGUAAUUGGAGUUCCAAUUGUCGGAGAACAAGGAGUUCUCAGGAAUCCACGGAAGAUAGACGAAAUCAGAAAGUCGGGAGAUGGUGUAGGAGUACGCAAUCCAGGAAGGCUUUGGAAAUUACAGUCAGGGAGUCAGAAAAUACUUGUAUUGGUCGAGUCUAAUAAUACUGUAAAUUGAUUUAUUUAUACUGAAAUCAUACUGGUUUGGGCAAGGAGUUUUUAAUGCCUGCGAAGGGUUAUCUCCAUCAUCAAAUAUCCUAUGUUAUUUAUUUUCCAGCAAUUUAUUAUACCACGACAAUUCAACAUAAGGUAGAUUCCAUGUGAAUUCAUCUAGACUAAUUAAUAACCGUGACUUGUUGCAUUUAUUAAUUAAUUUGUUUAAAUUCCGCAUAAACACCUAUUCACCACCCUCUACGUGUUAGUUGGGUCCAACUACAUAAUUUUCAAUGUGUUAGCUAACCAAUCUACCACCUUAUCUUAACUUCCAGUUUACCAAAAAGUUGAAGAAUUUCCUCAAUUGAUUAUUAAACUUCCCAAGGUCCAUCCUCCCCACUUUGAGGUAGACUCACUGCUGCCUUUGAAUAUAUUUCAGCCCAAAUUUUACCACAUCCCUUCUGCCAGCAUAAUUUCAAUCCAAUUGCUAGAGCUUUUAACUCUGCUGCUAAGAUGGAACACUCACCAAAAGUCAUAAAAACGCCAAAUAACAUCUCCGAGCAGAUCUCAGAACACCCCCACCAGCAGCUAGCCCAUUACCUUUCAGAGUCCCAUUAGUGUUAAGUUUAAAACCAAUCUUCAUCAGGUUUUAGGCUAAUAGAAUAAAGUUUACCAUUUAUUAGGUACAGGGUUAAUUCUUGAUUUCUUACUUCUACCUUUAGUAUCUGAUAUAAAACCAGCUCUACACAUAUUUUCCAACAUAUAAUCAAUUCUUUUCAUUACCCUCACUCAACUCAUCUUCAUAUCUUCACGUUUAGCCGACAACCCCAAGGGAACAAGAAGAUAAGAAGGGGGCAAGACAAUAAGAACAUUACCUGGCUCCUAGGACUUGGCAAGCAAAAAUCAAUGCUGGAAUUUCAAUUUAGGAUACACAAAUGACUUUGGAGUUACAUUAAAUUUUCCAGUGUAAAGGUUCCACAGUUUAGAGGUAGAUAUACCAUUAAGGAAAAGAAUUUAAAACUUACCAGAGGCUUUCACCCACAAAAUGCCCAAUGUACAUUUACUUUUUUAUAUGCUCUGAUGAGGAUGAAUGAUGUGCUAGAUGAAGUACAAUGUAAGCAGAACUUAGAGAAAUAUAAGCUUAUGAAUUCAUAUAGAGAUGCCAAAUCAUAAUGCUAGCUAGGAUGUUGAAGGAGACUCAGUCAAGCUGAUGUAGCCUAGAAAAAAUAGACAAUGUCUAAAGCCCCUUCUAGAAUUAGAAACUCUAUUAGACAGAGUGACUCAACAAAUAUUAAUAUUUCCUUUUUAGAUUUAUAUUUCCAUCCAGAUUUAGACGGGAUAUAAUUUUAUUUUAGAAAUGAAGGACACCCACAUAAUAGUCCAUAUAAUGCAUUGGAGACUAACUUUAGACUUGAAGUCUAUUUAUUAGAUAUCAACAUCACAUAGAAUGAAAGUCUUCCAAUUUUCAUGCUACCUAAAUAGCAAUCUAUAAAUAAAAUGGAGAUCCUUUUAGUGUAUCUAAAAAAGGCAAAGUUUCUAUAUUUAGCUGUUUUAAAAGUCUAUAGCAAAACCACUUGAUUACAGAGAUUCAAGCAGGGAAAACACCAAGAGCUUAAAACAGAGACAAGUUGUUGCAUCACAAAUUAUAAUAAAGUUAAUUAAAUCGAAUCACGUUUAUGGAAAUAGGUUCUAUAAGGUUGCAGGAACACAAAAACUCCAAAUAAAAAUCAAACUACUAAUGACAAACCUUGCAUUAAUAAACACGAUAGAAGGUACUAGUUUGUUACGAACAUAGAAGUAAAAUAAGAUAGUUCAUCUAUGAAGAACAUAAUAAUAAAAAGCACAAAAUAGACAAUCUUUAGAGUGGAAUUUGAAAACAUUGACAAUAACGGUUUUAAUAUUGUGUUUUCCCCUUAAAUACAAUUUCGAGCACGUUUAAAUCAAUGCAUCCUCAUAUGGAAGAUUAAAACUCGAAACUGCAGCCUGAGUUAGUUUAUCACAUAUUUGGUAGGUGGAGUGGGAGUAUAAAGAAACAAACAAAGGAUGGAAACUGAAAUUUACAUUCCUCCAGUCGUAGAUGACCUGGUUCCAUUACUCGAUCUUCGAUCUGAUGCUUGUUGCCUAGCAAGUUGUUCUAACCUUGAAUGUUGUGCAAAGCAUCCUCAGAGUUGUCUUGGAGCCUGUUUGCUAGGGUUUUUAAAAAGUCAAAACUCGCUUUUAAGACUAAAAAGCUACUUUUAGAUUAUUUUUA
rnacentral:lncRNA from 1 species